GGGAAUAGGCAGUUUAUAUAUAGGGCAGAUUUCCUGGAAGCCAGAAAUUAAUGUUUUUUAUUUAGACUUUUAGUAGAAUUACCAUGAGGAAUGAAAAUCUGUCAGACUAUCUUGCAGAAAAAUACAUGUGUGAAUCUACCUGAGUAAAAACCCUGUCCAAACUUUUUCCUCAGUUUCCCUUUGCCACCAAGCACUGAAUACCUUCCACCUCAGCCUACUGUUCUGGGGAGCUGACUCUGCGGUGGCACACGGACCAGUGCAGGAGCUGCUGGUGUCCUGAGCCCAAUAGUUGAGAAAUCUGAUCUCAGUGGGAUUACGGGAAAUGAUACUUAAAAUAUCAGUGGUAUCUGGAAUUAGGUCUCCUAACACUGGCCACCCCAGUGGAGCUGCGAUGGGAUCUGCAACCAGGGAGCCUGAGGACUUUUAAUCUGGCCAUGUUUGCACAGUGCGGGUCAGCCCAGAGGAAGAGCUGCUCUGACGUUUACUGAAGACCACAAUCAAGCUUCUGCAUGAUCAGUGGACAUUGGCAGCGAGGCUGAGCUGUGGCUGGCUUCCUUUGUACAUUCCUCCUGCACAAGAUGGUGUACUACAAAUGUGUAUUGAGCAGUAGGACAGAUCACCUCCAAGUGAGCGAACUCAGAGAAGUUUGGAGGCUUGUCCCUAACCACAUGCUGGCUCUAUGGUUCCCCUGAGGCAGAGCCAAGUCAAGAGUGCAGCCAGUCAUCCCUCAGACCGCUGCCACGUGCUCAAGUCAAACUGCUACAGACACCAAGAUGGUCUCCAGCACAGGGAUGCCCAAACUGUGCUCAGCAGACCUAAGGCUAUGUGAGGAUGGUUGGCCUGAUGAACUAAUGUUCAUUUCCAUUUUUGAGGAAUGCGGCUGAUGAAAGUAAGAUAAAACUAAGAGCAAAAGAAAAGCUUAAGGAAGUCAAAAAAGCAUGCAUAUUUUUAUAACAAUUCUUCCGUGCAUUAGUGGCUGUACCAGCAACAGAGGUAUAAUGUGAUCUGCGUUGAAAAGGAACAGGACUUGACAUUGAGUGAGAAAAGAAGUCACAGUAUGAUCUCUGUGUGGUGGUGUUAUCAAAAGUACUGAACAAACAACAUGGUGAGCAGUGGGACUCGAGGUGGGACACCUUUCCUGCACAGGCUUUCUACUGCCUGGCACCCAUACUGCUCUCUCCGUAUGGACCUUUCCUCAGCUGAUUUGGACAUCUCUUGUAGUCAUUAAGUUGGAGAACAUAAAUAUUGUUGGUGUCUCAAUCUCUUGUUAUAUUCAGCUGAAGUUGAUCUAUGGUUACAAAUGUUAGAGCGAGAUGAGGUGAGCCAGCUUUCUUCAAGAAGCCAAGAUAAAAGGGGUAAGACUGUCAGCCAAAAAAAUAGGGAAAGUUAAACUUCACAUAUCUCUCUGAUGAAAAACAAGCACAAUAUAUCUUUCAGAAAGAAAAACAAAACAAUGGUGCUCUGUGUUGUUAAGCAUUUUACAGAUACUUGUAAGAGUUCUGGUCAAAGUUAUUCUAGAAUAUCACAUAUUCUCUUGCAGUAAUGUUGAUGCCAGUUCCAAUGAGUGUAUCCCAAAUGUGACAAUCUUGAAUCUUGGCCUUUUUUGUACAACCACAGUUCUGUCAGAGUAUCAGAGUGCUUUCUUUGUUUAAAAAAAAAAAAAAAAAAA
rnacentral:lncRNA from 1 species